rnacentral:lncRNA from 1 species
GAGUCCAUCAAGGCGGGUUCCUCUGUACAGUACUCGCAGCAGAGCUUAUAUAGACAACUUACACACCCAGCCAAAGCAAACCUCCCCAAAUCCAACACUUCCAGCAUGUCCAAACUGGGAAACAGGCGGCAGAGUAACACGGGGCAAGACGCCUAAAGGAGCCUGUUUGUGUGCUGUGUGGCCACGUUCUGCUGUGACUGGAUCUUGUCUUCUGCCUGGCUCCUCGAUUUCCGUCCGGCUGGAUUUGGGGACAACACUGCCUGGCGCAGACAGAUCAAAUGACACUUCAAAGAAGCAUAAAAUGAACAGACUAUUCAAACAAAGGUAAUUUACAUUUUUUUAUUUGAUAAAACCUGACUGAUGUACAAAACGAAAAUAGAAUAUUGUUUACUGGAAAACAGGUCUACAAUCUCUCACACAUCUUCUCUUGCAACAGAUAGAAUUCCAGAAACAUCUAAGUUCCUCUGUGUACAGUUAUUUCUCCUGUAGGAGCCUUUGUAUGGAUGUAAUACACACAUAUAUGUAUAUGCAUAGAGCAUGACAUAAAUAAAACCUGCAAUAGCCUAUAAGAAAGAAGCUCCUAUUUAGAGGAAAGGGUAAGAUACUUUUAUUAUAAUGAAAGCCAGUUCACUUCAUCACUUGGACCAUGGACACUAAUGUAAAUAAAAUGGCUUAAAAAAUAAGACAAUAGUAGUAUUGACUGUAGACUACAAUUUGCACAUUUGUAAUUCUUAUAAAUGAAAUAUUUAAAAUGAUUUGGUGUUGGGCCAGUUCCUUAUGCAUUCUGCAUUCAUGUGUAUAGGAUUCAAAGACGUUCCAAAUAUUGAUCAUAAACCAAGUGUAUAUGAAUUAAUUAAAUAGCAUAUUUCUGGCCCAAAUAUGAGGAAAACCAUAACUUUUUACUGUAAAUCAGGAGAGAUUGUUUUAUCCCCAAAUAAACUAGGAUGUUUCAAGUCAUGUUUCAGCAAUUUGGAGACCUACAAACUAUCUGCAAGCAAGCACAACAACCAUACUCUAAUCUACUAGAUAGUAGUGAGAAUUUAGUGCUUGAAUUCAGGCUGCUUGAAUUCAGUAUAUCCUUCUCUAUGCUGAUUUUCAAGUAGAUAUUCUGUAGCUCAGCUAGAUAAUCUUUUAAAAGCAAAAAAAAAAUUAAGUUUAAAGUGUAGUUGCUAAGAGCUGCUCUUCACAGGUGACAUCGCUAGGAGUCUUUGAAGAUAUGUAAUUGUAACGUAUUGUGGGGUAUAUAUAAUACAUACAAUAAACCAUUUUAUAAACCUUGGCAAUCUUAUAAAUAAGGGGGCACUCGAUGUUAAAUCUUAGUAUAUUUAAUUUCUUCUGUGUGCCUGUGAGGUUGAUAGAGAGUUAAAAUAUUUAAUUGACUACAUUGCUAAUGAACAGACUACCCAUAAUCCUGAUCUUGGCUCAUUUCACUCAUUGGAGUUCCCAUGAUGAAUACCAAGCGUGGAGACCGGCCUUGUAGUAAGUUGGCAUGACUAGUGUUGCCCUAAGAAUGUGGUAUUUAUUACAGCAUCUUAUUCAGAUUCUAGUGGGAGAAGCGUUCAGAUAUGCAGUGUGUUAACUCAUUGUAGAUAUUGUUUCUAAAAACACAUUUUAUUGUUAGGUAUGGGAAUAGAGUCAUAAUAACUUUCAAAUUCAGAAAAUAUGUGAAUAAAUAACACCCUCCCAACACAUAGAUAUAUAUAUGUAGCUAGCACACCUAGAUACAUGUGAAGAAAAGAGAUUCUAUAAGACCAUUUUUGAUUUCUUGGGCUUUGGCUUACACAGUUGACUAUAUCUGAUCACGUGCUUAUUUUAUGUAAUACAAGCCAAAUCAUUAAUUACUCUGCUGCUAGUUCUUGGAAAGCAAGGCCACGGUGCUCUUUAAUCUUCCAAGCUGCAAAGCUCAUUAGGAUUUUUACAUGAUGUCAGAAGUGGCAUGCGCUUCACUGAGUUGUUUAUGCUGUGACCAUAUGGUUUAGGAAUGAACAAAAACUCUAUGAACAUGCCUUUAGGAUUGGAUUGUAGUGUCCGUGUGUAUUUUAUUUCUGACUUCUCGUUCAUAAUUUGAAGAGAAAUAUAGACGAACUCUUUCCACAUCUUAGUCUUUUCUCAAUAGCCAGUUACAGAAUGCUUACCAUAAAAGUAAACAAAUUAAUAUAAGGACAAAUUGGCAUCUCUGUUACUAAGCUGUAAGCCAUAUCUUAAUUGGUGUGAUAUGUUUAAACUCUUCAUUGGAGAUGUUUCCUAUCAUUAAAACACAAACCAAACAAACAAACAAAAAAAA